CACGAAGAAAAAAAAAAUCUUUAUUUCUUUUCUUAUCAAGAUACAUUAAAGGAUACAGAGACAUUGGAAUAAAAAACACUUGAGAAAAAGUUUCAAUUGUAGCAUGUUUGUCUCUCCCAUCAUACAAAAAUCAGCACCCUGUCCCUUUUGAAUGUUGCCCCUGGUUGAAAUGACCAGCCCACCCACCCAAUGAAGGAGAGCAAUGCUUCACAUGUACAGUAGCCUAUUAGAGCCAUCUCCACAAUAAUGGAGCAGAAUUACACACUUUAGAUGUAAAAAAAGUUUCCAAUAUGCCAGUUUUCCACUUUUCUUUACACAGAUUAGUAUUUGCUACAAACUCAACACUUCAAUUUCUUUUUUUUUUUUUUGAGAAAUAUUACAAAGCCCACAUUGGGACCAAACUUGCUUAUAAAACCCUUGUAAGCCCUCACUGCUGUGGAAGUCACAGGCUGAGGGAUACAGAGGAAUUAUAAUUAUCCAAUUAACAACUUUUAGUACUCACCCUUUCAUAAUGGUACAAACAAGGGGGGGGACUAAAAUAAACAAAUGAAAGCACAAGUUGAGACAGAUGGAUUCCUUUCACAUUGUUGUCAUACCCAAUCACAAUCAAAAAACAUGACUUCUGUUCUGCAUCAUCAGACGUUUACAGAAGACAAUUAAGGCCAUGUGGGGGGAAAAAAAAAGUUCUGAAAUUAAGAUUUUGAGAACAAGUAUGACUUUAAUCUCGGUCUCUUCACAAUUUUUUAACAUUAAUUUCUGAACUCAAUUUUUGGCCCCAAUUACCUUCCGUACAUUUACAUACAGACUUUUAUCAACUGACCAGUAACAUAAUUGUGUCACUUUUAUUCAAACCAACCAAACAGUACAUUGUAAGAAAUGCUGUGGCUUUAGUCUAACAUUACCUCAGGGAUUAAAGCGUCCACACACUUAUGGAUAUCGCACUGUUUUGCACAUUAUGGCUUCGUUUUGGACUUCUGCAGACUCAAACAUAGUACCUCAAAGCCAAAAUGUGUUCGCUCGUCAUGGCAAGUCAACACAGUAACUCGUGCAAAUCCAUGGUAACCACAAUCAUUCAACUCUCCUAAGCAGUUAAACCUACAGACCUCUUUGAAUCCAGACUGCCUGAAGCGGGGCGCUUCUCGCUUAAUACCGACUAAAAGUGGCUGUAAAAGCGUGGCGAUCAAGUGACAGGAGAUGAAAGACGAAAUACGGUUUUUACUGCAACAGCAACCUUUCCUCAAUUUCUAAAAAAAUGACUUCUGCGGUGCCUCAUGAAUAGGGAGACAGUACGGAAGGUUACUAGUCACAAAACUGUUAAGAUAGCACAAAACUAACUUGAGCAGUGAAGUCGGGAUUCAGUUCAGGGUCUGCAAACGAUCAAAAAAGGAGGAAUCAGGAUUAAGUAAACACACACACAUGAUUUUAAAUGAGUUCCAUUGUUCCGUGCUUGGUUCGGUUCUGAAUGAGAGAACAUUUACUGUUAGGAACAUAGUUACUUCAUUUAAAGCCUGUUGCAUAGCUAGUAACCUGAUUAGAAUUGAAAUGAUUAGUCUCUUCAUCAGUUACUAAAUGCACAGCUACAUUAAUCAAACUGAAUAUCUUUGGGCUUUGAGGAAAUGUGAUGGGCGUUUAUAUUGAUUAAUUAGGAAGAUAAUUGGCAAAUGAAUAGAUAAUGAAGAUAAUGCUUAGUUGCAGCCCUGAAGCUGAUGUUACUUAGAAUGGCUUGUCUAACAGGAGGACACUUUUGACUUUGUAUGAGUGAUACAUCUCGCCAAAAUUAAGAAAGCAGCUUUGAUGAUAGUGAGCAAACAAAACGAUCCCUUCCUAACUUCAACCAUUAAGUACACUCAGCCUUCUCUCCUCCUUGCUCCACACACUCUUCACACCUUGACUUUGACACUGCUCAAGUUGUUUUGUGCUGGCUCAAAUAUUUGAGACACUGAGGGACUUCCAUAAAAACAGAGGAUGUUAAGAGGUGCAGAUGGGAUGAAAAUCUAGGGAAGGAUUUUGACCUGUCAGGGUUUAUUAACACCUGUAACAGGUAUGUGGUUGGCUCCUGACUGAUGAUGGUAAACGUUGACAGGUUACGGAGUAAAAUAAAAUAGCGGCAGAUGGAUCAAACACUGUACGUUCACACCGACUGAGGGCAGCUCUGUCGACAUGUCUCCUGAACUUCAACCAUUGAAGGUGUAGUCAGUGAGCUACCAUCUGCCACGCCCGCAACCAGUCAGGUUAAGAGAGCCACGUACAUGUCUGCAUAGUGACACACAUACUGAGACCUUAAUGAUGGAGUGUAUGAGUAACAUCUGGAUUAAAAUCUGAUCUUCGCCCUGCCAGAGCUGUCCCCCACACUCUCUCAUUUCCCCGUUUUUCAUCGCAUACUGCUGGUCACCCCCUUCGAUGAUGCAUAUAUUUACACAAAGAUAGAGACGUGGAGGAAAAACAAAGUGUGCUUUAUCACCAUUGUUUCAGGAUGAGAAAUAUCUUGAUUUAAAUUACACAUUUAAAAACAGGCGGCAUUAAAAAGGGGAGCAAAAAUAAUUCAGGAUCUGGAAUAAAAUACUACAAAGCCCAAGGUGUUGUGUGAGUGUCAGUAUGUUAAUUAAAAUGAAAUGCACAGUCAUCGAAGUGUGUGUGUGUGUGUGUUUGUGUGUG